UACGGAGGAUGCGAGCGUUAUCCGGAUUUAUUGGGUUUAAAGGGUGCGUAGGCGGGCUGUUAAGUCAGCGGUCAAAUGUCGGGGCUCAACCUCCGCCCGCCGUUGAAACUAACGGUCUUGAGUGGGCGAGAAGUAUGCGGAAUGCGUGGUGUAGCGGUGAAAUGCAUAGAUAUCACGCAGAACUCCGAUUGCGAAGGCAGCGUACCGGCGCCCAACUGACGCUGAAGCACGAAGGCGUGGGUAUCGAACAGG
rnacentral:rRNA from 1 species